AUAAGGUAGUUUGAUUAUAUUUAGUAUAGUAGGAAGUAGUAUAUGAUUUGUAGUGAUAUAGAGAAAUCAUGAGAUUUUUUAAUUUAACUCUACCUACUAACAAAAAUAUAAUAACUAACAACUAAUAAUUCUAAUUUAUAUUUUUUUCAAAAAAAACUAUUUAUGUCUUCCAUUUCCAAAUCUCUUUUCUUGAAAGGUUUGAAUAUUUCGAAAGACUUUGAGGAUGAAAAAAAAACAUUUUCUUUCUAGUUAACUUGGAUCUCUGAAUUCAUCUACCCACAUCUUUGAAUUCAUGCACACAAUAAAAUAAAAUAAAAAUCAACACUUUACAUUGAAAUCGUCAAAACUAAUAAUUAAAAAAAAAAAAAAGGAAAAUGCAUUAACAAUAUUUGUUUAUUUGCUUCGAUUUGAUCAUUUCUCCCUAUUCUCCUUGGAUCUUUACCCUGUUCUUCAAUUCAUUUCUUUCCAAAAUUAAAUCUUUCUGAAAAAAAAAAAUCUGGUAAUUUUUUUCUCUGUUUCUUGAAGAGCUUCAAAUUCUGUGGAUGCAAUUUGGAGGUAUAAAGAUCUUAUUUUGAGCCUCACCCUCAAUUACUCGCGUCAAAUUCAAUUCUGGGUCGGUUUCAGUUUCUUCAAAAAACCGUAAAACAGUGAGAUUCACUAACUUGCAGUGUUCCUGUCUAAG
rnacentral:lncRNA from 1 species